rnacentral:rRNA from 1 species
GAGCGGCAACAGGCGUAGCAAUACGUGCUGACGAGCGGCGAACGGGUGAGUAAUGCUUCGGAAUCUACCCAGUAGUGGGGAAUAACCAGCCGAAAGAUUGGCUAAUACCGCAUACGUCUGUAAAGGGAAAGCGGGGGCUCGUAAGACCUCGCGCUAUUGGAUGAGCCAAAGUCGGAUUAGCUAGUUGGUGGGGUAAUGGCCUACCAAGGCGACAAUCCGUAGCUGGUCUGAGAGGACGACCAGCCACACCGGAACUGAGACACGGUCCGGACUCCUACGGGAGGCAGCAGUGGGGAAUAUUGGACAAUGGGGGAAACCCUGAUCCAGCGACGCCGCGUGUGUGAAGAAGGCCUGCGGGUUGUAAAGCACUUUUAGUGGGGACAAAAAGCUACGGAUUAAUACUCUGUGGUCUUGAUUUAACCCAAAGAAAAAGCACCGGCUAACUCUGUGCCAGCAGCCGCGGUAAUACAGAGGGUGCGAGCGUUAAUCGGAAUUACUGGGCGUAAAGCGCGCGUAGACGGUUUUGUAAGUCAGAUGUGAAAUCCCUGGGCUCAACCUGGGAACUGCAUUUGAGACUGCAUGGCUAGAGUAUCGAAGAGGGAAGUGGAAUUUCCGGUGUAGCGGUGAAAUGCGUAGAUAUCGGAAGGAACACCAGUGGCGAAAGCGACUUCCUGGUCGAAUACUGACGUUCAUGUGCGGAAGCGUGGGGA